CCAAUAGCGUAUAUUAAAGUUGUUGCAGUUAAAAAGCUCGUAGUUGAAUUUCGGGGUUAGUAGGUUGGUCAUGCCUCUGGUAUGUACUGGUCUCACUGAUUCCUCCUUCCUUAUGAACCGUAAUGCCAUUAAUUUGGUGUUGCGGGGAAUUUGGACUGUUACUUUGAAAAAAUUAGAGUGUUUAAAGCAAGCUGACGCUUGAAUACAUUAUCAUGGAAUAAUGAAAUAGGACGACCGAUCCUAUUUUGUUGGUUUCUAGGAUUGACGUAAUGAUUAAUAGGGAUAGUUGGGGGCAUUAGUAUUCAAUUGUCAGAGGUGAAAUUCUUGGAUUUAUUUAAGACUAACUACUGCGAAAGCAUUUGCCAAGGAUGUUUUCAUUAAUCAAGAACGAAAGUUAGGGGAUCGAAGACGAUCAGAUACCGUCGUAGUCUUAACCAUAAACUAUGCCGACUAGGGAUCGGAUGAUGUUAAUCUUUUAAUGACUCAUUCGGCGCCUUACG
rnacentral:rRNA from 1 species